AUUGAACGCUGGCGGAAUGCUUUACACAUGCAAGUCGAGCGGCAGCGCGGGGCAACCUGGCGGCGAGCGGCGAACGGGUGAGUAAUGCAUCGGAACAUGUCCAUGUCGUGGGGGAUAGCCCGGCGAAAGCCGGAUUAAUACCGCAUACGCCCUGAGGGGGAAAGUGGGGGACCGCAAGGCCUCACGCGAUUGGGUUGGCCGAUGUCCGAUUAGCUAGUUGGCGGGGUAAGAGCCCACCAAGGCGAUGAUCGGUAGCUGGUCUGAGAGGAUGAUCUGCCACACUGGGACUGAGACACGGCCCAGACUCCUACGGGAGGCAGCAGUGGGGAAUUUUGGACAAUGGGGGCAACCCUGAUCCAGCCAUUCCGCGUGAGUGAAGAAGGCCUUCGGGUUGUAAAGCUCUUUUGUCCGGAACGAAACGGGUAGAUCUAAUACGUCUGCCUACUGACGGUACCGGAAGAAUAAGCACCGGCUAACUACGUGCCAGCAGCCGCAGUAAAAC
rnacentral:rRNA from 1 species